UAGUUCGUGGUGGUUUGGACUUUGAGACAGCAGUGUUUUGAGCAGUGGCGGCAGCGAGGGUUUGGAGUCGGAUCUUCUUCGGAAGCCGGUGUAUGUGACCGCGGGAACUCCGGAGUACGCUUGGUCUUGACGGCGACGGGUGAAGGAACGAGCUUGGACACCUCCGUUUCGUGUAGCUGCGGUUAUAAUUCUCCUCUUUUAACAUUUAAUACUCAUUUCUGUUGAAAUAAAAACGGAGAAAAAGUGUAUUUGGAUGUUAAAGGUGAAAUAUAUGGACGACAUCGCAAUGGUAUGCCUAAGAGAUGUUGUUUUGCUUGCAAAACUUUUCCAGGUUAUGAGAUGAGUGAUAGGUUUGUGGCAAGACUGAUUAUGGAUUUGGGGUGAUAUAUGAGAACGAGAGUUUUCAGACACUUAAA
rnacentral:lncRNA from 1 species